rnacentral:rRNA from 1 species
GACGAACGCUGGCGGCGUGCUUAACACAUGCAAGUCGAACGGUAAGGCCCUUCGGGGUACACGAGUGGCGAACGGGUGAGUAACACGUGGGUGAUCUGCCCUGCACUUCGGGAUAAGCCUGGGCAACUGGGUCUAAUACCGGAUAGGACCACUGCCUGCAUGGGUGGUGGUGGAAAGCUUUUGCGGUGUGGGAUGGGCCCGCGGCCUAUCAGCUUGUUGGUGGGGUGAUGGCCUACCAAGGCGACGACGGGUAGCCGGCCUGAGAGGGUGACCGGCCACACUGGGGCUGAGAUACGGCCCAGACUCCUACGGGAGGCAGCAGUGGGGAAUAUUGCACAAUGGGCGCAAGCCUGAUGCAGCGACGCCGCGUGAGGGAUGACGGCCUUCGGGUUGUAAACCUCUUUCAGCACCGACGAAGCGCAAGUGACGGUAGGUGCAGAAGAAGGACCGGCCAACUACGUGCCAGCCGCCGCAGUAA